AUACGGAGGAUGCGAGCGUUAUCCGGAUUUAUUGGGUUUAAAGGGAGCGCAGACGGGUCGUUAAGUCAGCUGUGAAAGUUUGGGGCUCAACCUUAAAAUUGCAGUUGAUACUGGCGUCCUUGAGUGCGGUUGAGGUGUGCGGAAUUCGUGGUGUAGCGGUGAAAUGCUUAGAUAUCACGAAGAACUCCGAUUGCGAAGGCAGCACACUAAGCCGUAACUGACGUUCAUGCUCGAAAGUGUGGGUAUCAAACAGGAUUAGAUACCCUGGUAGUCCACACGGUAAACGAUGGAUACUCGCUGUUGGCGAUAUACGGUCAGCGGCUUAGCGAAAGCGUUAAGUAUCCCACCUGGGGAGUACGCCGGCAACGGUGAAACUCAAAGGAAUUGACGGGGGCCCGCACAAGCGGAGGAACAUGUGGUUUAAUUCGAUGAUACGCGAGGAACCUUACCCGGGCUUAAAUUGCAAAGGAAUAAUCUGGAAACAGGUUAGUCUUCGGACCUUUGAUGAAGGUGCUGCAUGGUUGUCGUCAGCUCGUGCCGUGAGGUGUCGGCUUAAGUGCCAUAACGAGCGCAACCCUCGCCGCCAGUUACUAACAGUUAAAGCUGAGGACUCUGGCGGGACUGCCAUCGUAAGAUGUGAGGAAGGUGGGGAUGACGUCAAAUCAGCACGGCCUUACGUCCGGGGCUACACACGUGUUACAAUGGGCGGUACAGAAGGCAGCUACCUGGCGACAGGAUGCCAAUCCCUAAAGCCGCUCUCAGUUCAGGACUGGAGUCUGCAACCCGACUCCACGAAGCUGGAUUCGCUAGUAAUCGCGCAUCAGCCACGGCGCGGUGAAUACGUUCCCGGGCCUUGUACACACCGCCCGUCAAGCCAUGAAAGCCGGGGGUACCUGAAGUGCGUAACCGCAAGGAGCGCCCUAGGGUAAAACUGGUAAUUGGGGUU
rnacentral:rRNA from 1 species